UUCCUGAAGCUGUGUGAGGAACUGGCACAUCCUCAACCUUGGCAAAAUAAACUUUCUAAAUUAACUGAGACCUGUCUCAGAUUUUGUGGGUUCACAUUUUGGUAACCAUGGGAGAUUCUGAGUGGAGAUGCUCCUGACCUUUCACAAAUCUCCUGUCGGUGCUUGGUACCAGCAUAAACUAACUUUAUGACUCAAACCAAUAGGACAAUUGGUUGAGGUCUGAGUGCAGGCCCUCCAGAGAAUCCCUGAUCUCCCAAAAUUUGGUUGAGAUCUAAAGUUUAUUUUGCUGUACAACUCCUCUUUGUUUUUUGGAGCUUUACUUGCUUCCAACACAAAGAAGGCAAGUUUUUCCUGCUUCUGUGAUGAUGGAAGGCAGGUAACUCCUUUAUGGAGUUUGAGCUGGCUUCCAACAAGGAAGAUGAGUUGUUUUGUUUUGUUUUUUUCCCUUCUAGGAUGCUAGAGAGCAGUCUUUAGCCUGAGACCCAUCUCUAGGAAACAACUCGAGAAACUCCUUAUUUCACCAAGGCUUUGACUGGAAUGGUGUGCUUUUUUUUAAGGAAUAAAACUUCACUUAUGGAUCCAAUAAAGCCCUUGGAAAAACUGGCCUCAUAUUUUGUGUACACAGUCCCCGUAUGGGGUUUCUGACUUGUGUUUUCCUAAUUUGGAAUCACUGAAAACUAAGUUUUGAUUUCUUAAAACCCUGUGAACUGAAGCCAGACAACUUAAACUUCAGAAGAAAAUAACAGCAGACUAGUUACAUACAUAAGCCACUUGCAUACCUGCCUACUAAUAUAUGGACUUCAGAGUAAUGUGGCCGAUACACAUUUUUCCAGGAUUGUUCUUUGGUUUAUUGUUGUUUUUCUCCCUUCUUCCCCCAAUUUUCUCUUCAUAGGACAUGAGACUUCACAGCCUGCUAAAGAUAAGCUUUUGGGACCUACCCAUCUAGGAAUAAACAGUCCUAGCCUUGAGAGAUCAGAUGAAACCUGAGGCCAGAGACUCAUUUUCUUCUAAAAUGCUUUCUCCAAAAGAUUUUUAGAUAGAAAAGGGAGAAAUGUGAAAUGUCUUGAGCCCCUUCAAGCUGGGAACUGCUCAGGACAAAUCUGUCUCUCAUUCUAUUCAAAGUCAUUUCUCUGCUCAGAGAUGGAUGCAUAUUCUUAUUGCUUUCUUUGGAAAGACUUAACAGAAACUCAAAAGAAUGCAACCAUCUGUCUCUCACCUACCUGUGACCUGGAAGCCCAUAGGGUAAAAGGGGCUUGCUUUGAAUUGUCUCUACUUUUCUGAAUGGAACAAAUGUAUUUCUUACAUAUAUUGAUUGAUGUCUCAUGUUUCCCUAAAAUGUAUAAAACCAAGCUGUGACCCAGCCACUUUGGGCAUGUGUUGUCAGGACUUCCUGAGGCUGUGUCACAGGUGCAUCCUCAACUUUGGCAAAUAAA